UACGUAGGCAGCAAGCGUUGUUCGGAGUUACUGGGCGUAAAGAGUGUGUAGGCGGUUCUCUAAGUUCCGUGUGAAAUCUCCCGGCUCAACUGGGAGGGUGCGCGGAAAACUGGAGGGCUCGAGUAUGGGAGAGGAAAGCGGAAUUCCUGGUGUAGCGGUGAAAUGCGUAGAUAUCAGGAGGAACACCUGCGGUGUAGACGGCUUUCUGGACCAUCACUGACGCUGAGGCGCGAAAGCCAGGGGAGCGAACGGG
rnacentral:rRNA from 1 species